AUUGAACGCUGGCGGCAGGCCUAACACAUGCAAGUCGAGCGGAUGAAGGGAGCUUGCUCCUGGAUUCAGCGGCGGACGGGUGAGUAAUGCCUAGGAAUCUGCCUGGUAGUGGGGGAUAACGUCCGGAAACGGGCGCUAAUACCGCAUACGUCCUGAGGGAGAAAGUGGGGGAUCUUCGGACCUCACGCUAUCAGAUGAGCCUAGGUCGGAUUAGCUAGUUGGUGGGGUAAAGGCCUACCAAGGCGACGAUCCGUAACUGGUCUGAGAGGAUGAUCAGUCACACUGGAACUGAGACACGGUCCAGACUCCUACGGGAGGCAGCAGUGGGGAAUAUUGGAAAAUGGGCGAAAGCCUGAUCCAGCCAUGCCGCGUGUGUGAAGAAGGUCUUCGGAUUGUAAAGCACUUUAAGUUGGGAGGAAGGGCAGUAAGUUAAUACCUUGCUGUUUGGACGUUACCAACAGAAUAAGCACCGGCUAACUUCGU
rnacentral:rRNA from 1 species